rnacentral:lncRNA from 1 species
UCUCUGGAGGAUCUCUGGAGGUGUUGGCUGCAAAUUUCCUUGGUGGCUAAACCUGUCCUUUCCUGAUUGCGGUUUUGCUUGCUGUAUUUCAUCAAGGCAGUUUCUGGCAACCUGAUCCAUCUACAGGGAUUGUGAGAUUGAGUCUAGAUCCUUUUUGGAUCUAAGACCUUCCCUGGCCCUAGCAAAGCCUUACACAGACCCUUUCCUUAAAUCCAACAAAGGGUUGGAUUUAGUUGAGGGUUUUAAUUAAGAUUAGGAACUAGAGAUUUAGGGAGUUAGGGAGGAUUAGAGUGGGCAAUUCACUCAGAAGAAAUCCCUGUGAAGGGAUAUUUAGAUCUGAUGGGUAUAGGUAGACUGACCUUAGUUUAGAUUAACCCAAAUCCCCCUUUCACCUUCCCUUGUUUAUUAAAUACAACAAUCUGUCCCUGUAUUAUAUAGUGAUCUGUGUUUAUUAUCUCAGGACAGGCUCAGCCUGGAUUGGGCCUGUCAGCCAUAGAUAGCCUUCCCAAAGUAUUAUUCUUCCGAUAUUGGUCUUACAUUGUAACAUUCUAUGCCAUCCCUAAAACCCUAUUGUUAUUUCAGAUCUGAAUUCAGAGGAUUUGGAUUUGAAUCCCAGCUCUGCUAUUUAACCAUCUGUGUGACCUUGGAACUCUCCUGUGGUCUACACCUCUGGACAAUCGCAUUGAGAUCUAACUAUGCCUUGGGGUUUCUGAUGGCCCAGGAACCUAGAACCUCCUCAGCUUCGGACAAAGAACAUGACAAAUAAAAGUUGCGUCUGUACCUUUAAACCAUCUCAGAUCCAGGUGGUUGAGAAGACUCCCUGGGGCGCCUAAGAUUCAGGUGGGGCUGAAAAGAGUGUUUCAAGUUAAGCCGACUUGUAAUUCCCCUUUCCUCUUCCCUGCCCCCGCAUUGGGGACCAGUCUGCAUAGAUCUGAUUGGGAACUCGGGAUCAGGUGUCAGCACAUUGGUGUGAUCAGCCAAGUGUGUGCUAAUGCCCAGAAUGUUUUGGCAGUUCCGUCCUCUCCUGAAGCAGGUGAAACCCAA